ACAAGUGUUUAUGUUUUUCUUUUCAGUAUAUAAUAUUUAUAUACGACAAAUAGAACAAAUAAACUCACAUA
rnacentral:ncRNA from 2 species